rnacentral:rRNA from 1 species
GACGAACGCUGGCGGCGUGCUUAACACAUGCAAGUCGAACGGAAAGGCCCUGCUUGCAGGGUGCUCGCGUGGCGAACGGGUGAGUAACACGUGGGUGAUCUGCCCCUUACUUUGGGAUAAGCCUGGGAAACUGGGUCUAAUACUGGAUAGGACCAUGCUGUAGGUGGUGUGGUGGAAAGAUUAGUUUCGGUAAGGGAUGAGCUCGCGGCCUAUCAGCUGGUUGGUGGGGUAAUGGCCUACCAAGGCGUCGCCGGGUAGCCGGCCUGAGAGGGUGGACGGCCACAUUGGGACUGAGGUACGGCCCAGACUCCUACGGGAGGCAGCAGUGGGGAAUAUUGCACAAUGGGGGCAAGACUGAUGCAGCGACGCCGCGUGGGGGAUGACGGCCUUCGGGUUGUAAACUCCUUUCAGCCAUGACGAAGCCCUUGUGGUGACGGUAGUGGUAGAAGAAGCACCGGCUAACUACGUG